UACAGGGGGCGCGAGCGUUGCUCGGAAUCACUGGGCGUAAAGCGUACGCAGGCGGGCCGAUAAGUAUGUCGUGAAAUCCCAGGGCUCAACCCUGGAACGGCGAUGUAGACUGUCGGUCUUGAGUACGGGAGAGGGGAGCGGAAUUCCUGGUGUAGAGGUGAAAUUCGUAGAUAUCAGGAGGAACACCGGUGGCGAAAGCGGCUCCCUGGCCCGAUACUGACGCUCAUGUACGAAAGCGUGGGGAGCAAACAGG
rnacentral:rRNA from 1 species